rnacentral:hammerhead_ribozyme from 1 species
AUUAAGUUAACGAGUCCCAAAUAGGACGAAACGCGCGUCCUAAAC